rnacentral:rRNA from 1 species
UACGAAGGGGGCUAGCGUUGCUCGGAAUCACUGGGCGUAAAGCGCACGUAGGCGGCUUGCUAAGUCAGGGGUGAAAUCCUGGAGCUCAACUCCAGAACUGCCCUUGAUACUGGCGGGCUUGAGUCCGGGAGAGGUGAGUGGUACUGCGAGUGUAGAGGUGAAAUUCGUAGAUAUUCGCAAGAACACCAGUGGCGAAGGCGGCUCACUGGCCCGGUACUGACGCUGAGGUGCGAAAGCGUGGGGAGCAAACAGG